CCCGGUCCUAGGACACCUUCCCGGUGCCCACGGCGGGAGCAUCUCUGCCAGCCCUGGGGUUCAGAAGAUGCCCAGGGUCCCAGGCGGAGGGACCUCCUGGGCAACUGCUUCCUCCAGGAAGUGUCAGAGCCUCCAAUGCCCCAAUAUCAGGGCCACCUCCCUUCAUCCCAGUGCAGAAACAACGACCUGGAGGAACCCAACUAGGAGCCACCUUAGGCGCGGUAGCACACACCCAUCAUCCGUCGAAGGUUGAGGCAGGAGGAUCGCUCUCGAAGUCAAGGCCUGCUCGGACUACAUAGGGACGGAGACCCUGUCUCAAAACAAAACAAAAACCUCCGAAAAGAAAGCCUGGCCCCCCGUUUUACAGGUGGGAAACCUGGGCAUCCGGUCGCCUGGGUAGAGCUGGAAUUCAAGUUCACACACGUCAUUUGCAGAGUCCCGAGCGCUUAACCCUUCCCCAAUUAUGGUCCUUAAUUCAAACAAAACACUCCUUUCAACAAAGAUUUUCUUG